UACGUAGGGGGCAAGCGUUGUCCGGAAUCAUUGGGCGUAAAGCGCGUGUAGGCGGCCACGUUAGUCCGCUCUGAAAGCCCGGGGCUCAACCCCGGGAGGCCGUUUGAUACUGCGAGUCUCGAGACCGGAAGAGGUGAGUGGAAUUCCUGGUGUAGAGGUGAAAUUCGUAGAUAUUAGGAAGAACACCAGUGGCGAAGGCGGCUCGCUGGUCCGGUUCUGACGCUGAGGUGCGAAAGCGUGGGGAGCAAACAGG
rnacentral:rRNA from 1 species